ensembl:lncRNA
CUGGGGUUCUGAACUCUGAGCUUUGAAGACCCCCAGAAACACUUUCUGGCAGGCUACAGAAACAUCAAGGAGAUUGGGUAGAAACAGGAGGGCCAGCUGAUGCUGAGAAAAAUUUGAGGCUCUCGUAUAUACAUAACAUGUGAAUCCACUACUGGGAUGGUUGCCUAGCAACAUUAUUCCCCUCCCCCUCAAGCCUUCUUGUGACAGCCUCACUUCUUUCCUAUUCUGAUAUUAGCUUAAUGUUUUUUUAUGAAUCAGAUGUACAAUAUUUUGGGAAUGGUGUAUAGCAUAAGAGAGUAGAGAGUAGCCUGAUUUACUAGUAUCAUUUGGAAAAUAUACAAUCCAGGCAGCUCUUUUAAAAAGUUAAUGGUCCAUUUUUGGCCAUGUUACAAAAGUAGAUGUUUAGAUUACAAGAAGAUUUUUUAAAAAGGAAAUACCUAAGGAUCCUGCCCUGCGAAGGCCCCAUUCUGCCGCUCUCGUAUUCAUAGCAGAUGUUUAGGUGGACGUUUCCGGUUGUGCAAGGACCCGGUGAUUUGCCUCAGGUGGACGUAAAAGCCAGUCCACCCCAGGUCCUUUCUCCUGACCAGAGAAGCGUAAAGCUGGAAGGUGCAGGAAAACAUCCAGUUGCUGAGCUGACUUCACUGAAGAAGCCCGGAGAGCUGAGCGCAUUUUCAGUCUCCCAAAUACCAGUCGAACUCACUGCAUGAGAAUGCCGUGGAUCGUGUCUUAACCCCCUUCUGCUCAGUCUCACCAGUGAAAAAUGGAAGAUGCAUACUGGCAUAGAAAGAAGAUCACAAGCUUCGGAGCCAGAGAGACUUAGGUUCAAAUUCCAGCUCAACCCCAUUCCUCUCUGAGUGAUGGUAGAUAACUAUUCAAGAUGUGCCAAAUGAGGCACGGAGGGUUUCACUCACGUGCUUAAGUCUCACUGCUGGCACGUGGCGGAGCCAGGAUUCGGACUCAGUUCCAGAGCCCACAUUCUAUAUAUGUCUGCUUCCAAGUGAACACUGCUGUCCCUCCUAAUCAUGAGAUUUUAUGCUCAAGUAAUAAACUCUCCGUUGGACCAAUUCUUUCUGAGCAGGAAUGCUGUGUGCCUGAGCCCUGCACGUACAGAUCAGACCCCAGCCUCUCCCAUGCCUCCCUGGGAGUCCCAGGCUGGUGGCCCUCCGGGGUGGCUCCCGAGAAGGAAGCCGGGUGUGGCCUUAUGCCCGUGCGACGGAGCCCUCACCUUCUUAGGACCUGGAACAAGGGGUCACAUUGCGCCCACCCUGAAACUCGUCAAAUUUUGGAUCAAUAUCCUUUUCUUUUUGGCGGAUGUCGGGAUUUGAUUUGUCCUUGGUACCUGUUAGGGUCGCAGUCACACCAGAGCCCACUCCUUCUGUGAGAAUCCCCGUUGGCUUGGUCCUAACCGGCUGCUGUACUUCAGAAAAAAAUUUUACAUUUUUACACCAAAAUAUGUAAGUUGGAAAGCAAGGAUUUUCCAAAUACUCUUCCUGGACGUUUUCAGUUCACAUACCCUAAGCCACGAAAAAGAAAAAGAAGUUACUGCCUGCCUGUGGUAGGUCCCUUCAGAAGCAGCCGGUGUGAUCAGUUUCUGGGUGUCCUUUGGAGAUGGUCAAUGUACGUAGCAGCAAGGAUUGUGAAUGAAAAUACGUACAGAGCCCACUCACAUCGGUGAGGCAGGAUGGCAGGAGGCAAUUGGAAGCCAUACAGAUGGCAGAGAGUGUCUCAGCCACGAAGACAGCCCCUGCACACUCCAGCUGUCUGUGCUCCACAGGAUGACAUCGAUGAGGCUGGAGCGGCCACCUGUUAAAGGAGAAAUCCAGAAUGUUCUUGUGAAAUCUUUCAAUUUUAAAGUGUUGAUGGCUGCCAAAUCUUAUAACCUUUGUAUUCUGUUCAGUAAACAUAAUUCCUGCCUCUUUUUUCUUUUUACAUUCAUCUUUCGAUGGG